rnacentral:rRNA from 1 species
AUACGUAGGGAGCGAGCGUUGUCCGGAAUUACUGGGCGUAAAGGGCGCGUAGGCGGCGCUUCAAGUCGUCUGUCAAAUGGGAGGGCUUAACCCUUUUUCGCAGACGAAACUGGAGAGCUUGAGAAGCAGAGAGGCAAACAGAUUUCCUGGUGUAGCGGUGAAAUGCGUAGAUAUCAGGAAGAAUACCAGUGGCGAAGGCGGUUUGCUGGCUGCAUACUGACGCUGAAGCGCGAAAGCCAGGGGAGCAAACGGGAUUAGAUACCCCGGUAGUCCUGGCAGUAAACGAUGUAUGCUGGGUGUGAGACUAGCGAUAGUUUCGUGCCGAAGUUAACGCGAUAAGCAUACCGCCUGGGGAGUACGGUCGCAAGAUUGAAACUUAAAGGAAUUGACGGGG